GAUGAACGCUAGCGGCAGGCCUAACACAUGCAAGUCGAGGGGUAUAGUAGCAAUACUAGAGACCGGCGCACGGGUGCGUAACGCGUAUGCAAUCUACCUUUUGCAGAGGGAUAGCCCAGAGAAAUUUGGAUUAAUACCUCAUAGUAUUAUAGUAUGGCAUCAUAUUAUAAUUAAAGUCACAACGGCAAAAGAUGAGCAUGCGUCCCAUUAGUUAGUUGGUAAGGUAACGGCUUACCAAGACUACGAUGGGUAGGGGUCCUGAGAGGGAGAUCCCCCACACUGGUACUGAGACACGGACCAGACUCCUACGGGAGGCAGCAGUGAGGAAUAUUGGACAAUGGGCGCAAGCCUGAUCCAGCCAUGCCGCGUGCAGGAUGACGGUCCUAUGGAUUGUAAACUGCUUUUGCACAGGAAGAAACAACGCUACGUGUAGCGUCUUGACGGUACUGUGAGAAUAAGGAUCGGCUAACUCCGUG
rnacentral:rRNA from 1 species